AUUCUAUUUUUUAAGUUUUAAUAUGUUCAACAAAGCUUCAGUGCAAGGCUUCAUGUUUCGUGAUGAUUAACAAUACUGCAUCUUUGUCAAUUUGCGAGUGGCUUAGGCAUUAUGGAUAUGUGAGCUAACUAUACUUGUAUCAUUCUUGCUGAAGAGGACUCCAACGUGAAUCGAAACGUUUAAAAUAAAGAAGACAUCAAUCCAAUAUCUGAACUAACGUCAAAUAUUACAAGGAAUCAAUUUAUGUAAAAAAAUCAUAAUCGAAGAUUUGAAGAUCGAUCUAAUUUUUUUAAAACAGAACCUAGAUAGCACACCUAGGUAUGUUUUAUAUAUUCUUAAACAUAUCCGAUAUUUUAUA